rnacentral:rRNA from 2 species
AGCGAACAGAUAAGGAGCUUGCUCCUUUGACGUUAGCGGCGGACGGGUGAGUAACACGUGGGUAACCUACCUAUAAGACUGGGAUAACUUCGGGAAACCGGAGCUAAUACCGGAUAACAUUUGGAACCGCAUGGUUCUAAAGUGAAAGAUGGUUUUGCUAUCACUUAUAGAUGGACCCGCGCCGUAUUAGCUAGUUGGUAAGGUAACGGCUUACCAAGGCGACGAUACGUAGCCGACCUGAGAGGGUGAUCGGCCACACUGGAACUGAGACACGGUCCAGACUCCUACGGGAGGCAGCAGUAGGGAAUCUUCCGCAAUGGGCGAAAGCCUGACGGAGCAACGCCGCGUGAGUGAUGAAGGGUUUCGGCUCGUAAAACUCUGUUAUUAGGGAAGAACAAACGUGUAAGUAACUGUGCACGUCUUGACGGUACCUAAUCAGAAAGCCACGGCUAACUACGUGCCAGCAGCCGCGGUAAUACGUAGGUGGCAAGCGUUAUCCGGAAUUAUUGGGCGUAAAGCGCGCGUAGGCGGUUUCUUAAGUCUGAUGUGAAAGCCCACGGCUCAACCGUGGAGGGUCAUUGGAAACUGGGAAACUUGAGUGCAGAAGAGGAAAGUGGAAUUCCAUGUGUAGCGGUGAA